GUGACAGCGAAACGAAUAACAGUCUUGAGUACCUGCUGGUCUUUGAAGCUCUGGAUUCUGGGACUGUUGGAAAAGCUCCAACAAAAUGAGGAAGAGGAGGGAGAAACACACUUAGAUUGAAUUACAAUUGGAUGGAUGUCGAGGACAAGGAGGAGGAAGCUUAGGAUGAGGAGGAAGAAAAGCAGCAGGAGCAUCUUUGGGGAUCUCUAUGAUGUCAUUGAGAGGCGGCGGCGAGAGGGGAGACCUCGGCUCAUCCAGCUGGACAGCCUGACCAGGAGGAGUCUACAUUAACUCGGCUCUUCCAGGGCACCCUGCAGACUCGGCUGCUGGCAACACUGGGAUGACGUGAAC